rnacentral:tRNA from 2 species
AAGUGAUUAGUAUAAUAAAACAUUUGAUUUCGGCUCAAAAAUUUGUGGUUAAAAUCCAUAAUCACUUA